UCCCUGGUGGUCCAGUGGCUAAGACUCUGUGCUCCCACACAGGGGGCCCAGGUUCAAUCCCUGGCCAGGGAA